rnacentral:lncRNA from 1 species
CAGUGUUGGGCUUACUUAAUUCCUCCAGACUUACCUUCUGUCACUUUCCUCUUUGGUCCUUGCACUCCUUCUAUUCCUUCAGUUCCUGGGUUAUGUUGGUCUCUUUCAUACCUUAAAGCCUUGGCAAGACUUCUCAUUGCUGUUAAAGCUCUCUCCACCUGCGUCUGCACAUAGCUAACUCCUACUCAUAAUUUAAACUCCAAUUACAUGUUAAUUCCUUAAGCA